rnacentral:guide_RNA from 1 species
AACACCACAAUUAGAUGUAGUAAAUAGCAGUGUGAAUUCUUAUAU